AUCCUUUUGUAGUUCAUGAGCAUGAAGACUGGGUGUUCAUGCACAUGUGUGAAAUGUGCCACCCUUGAACCUUGUUAUGAUAUUGGCAUCUUAUCCAUCUGGCC